rnacentral:rRNA from 1 species
UACGGAGGGUGCAAGCGUUAUCCGGAUUCACUGGGGUUAAAGGGUGCGUAGGUGGGCAGGUAAGUCAGUGGUGAAAUCUCCGGGCUUAACUCGGAAACUGCCAUUGAUACUAUCUGUCUUGAAUACCGUGGAGGUCAGCGGAAUAUGUCAUGUAGCGGUGAAAUGCUUAGAUAUGACAUAGAACACCAAUUGCGAAGGCAGCUGGCUACACGAAUAUUGACACUGAUGCACGAAAGCGUGGGGAUCAAACAGG